rnacentral:rRNA from 1 species
CUGGCUCAGGAUGAACGCUGGCGGCGUGCCUAACACAUGCAAGUCGAGCGAGAAAUCGCUCAAUGAUCUUCGGGUGAUUUGAGCGAUGGAAAGCGGCGGACGGGUGAGUAACGCGUAGGUAACCUGCCCCAUACAGAGGGAUAGCCACUGGAAACGGUGAUUAAUACCUCAUAACACCGGAAUACCGCAUGGUAUACCGGUCAAAGUUUUUCGGUAUGGGAUGGACCUGCGUCUGAUUAGCUGGUUGGUGAGGUAACGGCUCACCAAGGCGACGAUCAGUAGCCGACCUGAGAGGGUGAUCGGCCACAUUGGAACUGAGACACGGUCCAAACUCCUACGGGAGGCAGCAGUGGGGAAUAUUGCACAAUGGGCGCAAGCCUGAUGCAAGCAACGCCGCGUGAACGAAGAAGGCUCUUGGGUCGUAAAGUUCUGUUCUGAGGGAAGAAGAUCUGACGGUACCUCAGAAGAAAGCCCCGGCUAACUACGUGCCAGCAGCUGC